GCUCAGUUGGUAAAGCACAAGGCUCAUAACCUUGUGGACGUGGAUUCAAGUCCCAU
rnacentral:tRNA from 1 species